UAUCAUCUUCUCUUAUAUACUCCGUUAUGGACUUCCUUAUGUACUCCCUUAUAUAUACUUUUUAUAGUUCGGCCGCUCAGAGAAUGCGUUUCUGACACAUCGCGAUUGAACUGACGACGUAACUUUGUAAUGGCGUUGCAGUACGAUAAAAAUAUUUUUGCUGGUUGUUUAUCGUUUUAACAAUUGAUGAGCAUUAAAACAACAUUAUUAUAUCAAUAAUAAUCAAUGAAUGUUGUAAUUUUGUGCCAAAUUGAGUGUCAAAUAACUUGGUAAACAAUAUUUUUCUAAAUCUAUACUGCGCUAUUACAAGGUUAUGUCAGCGCUUUAUAUUUGUAGUGCUGUGCUAAAAAUAACAGGCAAGUAUCGUAAUCUGUUCUGGUUGAUGGUUCUUAUACAGUUAUACUUAUAAUAUAAAAUAAUACGUUUUGUUUUUCUUUUUAAGAAUUUGAAAAUAAUGGACUAUAAGAUAACUUUUAUGAAAUAUAAAAAUAAAACUAUGAUCAAACUGAACGCGCGAAAGAAAGUAGCAUUUUUAUAUUUAGGUUGAAAAUGGUAACUCCAAAUGGCAUCAUGGGCCGUCAUUUUGUGACGCUAAAUAGUCGUUUGUUGUCGUUUCGUGCGCUAAGACUAAGUGCCCUGCCUCAUUAGGACGCCAAUGGCGACGUCGCCGGCUACGUAUCAUAGCAGUUAGUAUUGAAAUGUAUGGAACCUAACUCACUUGGCGACGGUUUGGCAACGUCGCCAAAUUGGAGGCGUGGCCACGAGCUACAGUUCCCUAUGUGGCUUCUGGCUACCGUGGCAACUUGGCGACGUGGCCACAGUAGCCACUAUAAUGUACACGGUAAAGCGCACCUUCCUCACACAGUCGCCAAUGUGGUCGCCAGUCAGCUUGCAAUUUCUUGAGCGACGACGUAAACAAUUGACUGUCGAGACGCCAUGGCCACUCGACUUGGCGACAUUUGGAUGCCAGAAGUAGCCAGACCUGUGCCGCUGGCGACGUCGCCAUGGCGUCCCAGUGAGAUAUCAGGAUUGAUUCUGUUAUUGAUAAUACCUAAUAUAAUUAUACACGUAGGCGAAGAUGAUGAUGAAGACACCACCUCCUCAAGCGAAUCGGAGUCUGAUUAAUAUUCUGUACGCACAUUCAAUUAAAUGUACUUACUUUAUUGCAUAGAAAUACAGAUUGUAACUUUGUAACAAAGAAUAAAUAAAACGAUUUUAUUAUAUGAA